GCGGAGAUGGCCGAGCCGGACAAAGGCGCAGGACUUAAGAUCCUGUCCCGCAGGGGUUCAGGGGUUCGAAUCCCCUUCUCCGCA
rnacentral:tRNA from 1 species